GACGAACGCUGGCGGCGUGCCUAACACAUGCAAGUCGAACGGAGUGUUUAUUUAUAAAACACUUAGUGGCGAACGGGUGAGUAACGCGUAGACAACCUACCCUCUAGAUGGGGACAACACCGCGAAAGUGGUGCUAAUACCGAAUGUUGUAAUGUUAUUGCAUAAUGAUAUUACUAAAGGUGGUCUCUAUAUAAAAGCUACCGCUAGAAGAUGGGUCUGCGUCUGAUUAGCUAGUUGGUGAGAUAACAGCUCACCAAGGCAAUGAUCAGUAGCCGGUCUGAGAGGAUGAACGGCCACACUGGGACUGAGACACGGCCCAGACUCCUACGGGAGGCAGCAGUGGGGAAUCUUCCGCAAUGGACGAAAGUCUGACGGAGCAACGCCGCGUGAGUGAAGAAGGUUUUCGGAUCGUAAAGCUCUGUCCCCAAGGACGAAUGUAGAUAUUGUGAAUAAUGAUAUUUAAUGACGGUACUUGAGGAGGAAGCCACGGCUAACUACGUGCCAGCCGCCGCCGUAA
rnacentral:rRNA from 1 species